rnacentral:misc_RNA from 1 species
GUACCUUCAAGCUCUGCUUGGUGUUGGGUGUUUGUCUCGCCUUUGCGUGUAGACUCGCCUCAAAACGAUUGGCAGCCGGCGUAAUGAUUUCGGAGCGCAGUACAUCUCGCGCCUUGCACUCAUAGCGACGACGUCCAAAAAGUACAUUUUUACAC